rnacentral:rRNA from 1 species
UGGCGAACGGGUGAGUAACACGUGGGUGAUCUGCCCUGCACUUCGGGAUAAGCUUGGGAAACUGGGUCUAAUACCGGAUAGGAACCAUCUUUAGUGUGGUGGUUGGAAAGUUUUUCGGUGUAGGAUGAGCUCGCGGCCUAUCAGCUUGUUGGUGGGGUAAUGGCCUACCAAGGCGGCGACGGGUAGCCGGACUGAGAGGUUGGUCGGCCACAUUGGGACUGAGAUACGGCCCAG